rnacentral:rRNA from 1 species
AUUGAACGCUGGCGGCAUGCCUUACACAUGCAAGUCGAACGGCAGCACGGGUGCUUGCCCCUGGUGGCGAGUGGCGAACGGGUGAGUAAUACAUCGGAACAUGUCCUGUAGUGGGGGAUAGCCCGGCGAAAGCCGGAUUAAUACCGCAUACGAUCUACGGAUGAAAGCGGGGGACCUUCGGGCCUCGCGCUAUAGGGUUGGCCGAUGGCUGAUUAGCUAGUGGGUGGGGUAAAGGCCUACCAAGGCGACGAUCAGUAGCUGGUCUGAGAGGACGACCAGCCACAAGGGGAAUGAGCAACGGUCCAGACAAGUACGGGAGGCAGCAGUAGGGAGUGUUAGGAGAUGGGCGAAAGAAUGAAAGAGCAAUGACGCGGGAGUGAUGAAGGUCUGCGGACGGGAAAACGAGGUUGAUAGGGAAGAAAACAUGUGCAAGUAAAAGUGAAGAGCUAGAAGGGAAAGAAGAAGAAAGCAACGGAUAACUAAGUG